UAGGGAAUCUUCGGCAAUGGGGGCAACCCUGACCGAGCAACGCCGCGUGAGUGAAGAAGGUUUUCGGAUCGUAAAGCUCUGUUGUAAGUCAAGAACGAGUGUGAGAGUGGAAAGUUCACACUGUGACGGUAGCUUACCAGAAAGGGACGGCUAACUACGUGCCAGCAGCCGCGGUAAUACGUAGGUCCCGAGCGUUGUCCGGAUUUAUUGGGCGUAAAGCGAGCGCAGGCGGUUAGAUAAGUCUGAAGUUAAAGGCAGUGGCUCAACCAUUGUAGGCUUUGGAAACUGUUUAACUUGAGUGCAGAAGGGGAGAGUGGAAUUCCAUGUGUAGCGGUGAAAUGCGUAGAUAUAUGGAGGAACACCGGUGGCGAAAGCGGCUCUCUGGUCUGUAACUGACGCUGAGGCUCGAAAGCGUGGGGAGCGAACAGGAUUAGAUACCCUGGUAGUCCACGCCGUAAACGAUGAGUGCUAGGUGUUAGGUCCUUUCCGGGACUUAGUGCCGCAGCUAACGCAUUAAGCACUCCGCCUGGGGAGUACGACCGCAAGGUUG
rnacentral:rRNA from 1 species